ACAAGAGUUCCUAAGGGUUCAAAGAGGUUUGUCUGAAAGGGAGGGGCAGGAAACUUUCCACUAACUAGAGACUCCUGGGUUCAAAUUAUCCAUGAGUUGUGAAAACAGCAGGGAGGAAGGGAAUGCAAGAAUGUAGCUUUGAGAGUACCUUAUCUUGUCCUGCAGUUUGAACAGAGAAGCCAACAAUCUUGAAGUUUAACUUCCAGGUGCUUCUCAUAAAUUGUGAAAGGCCACAGCAAAGAAAAGAGUUACAAGCAUUUAUUCCUGUGAGUCCUGGAACAGCAUCAUCAUCGAAAUUGCAAAGCCUCAGCUCCGGAGCCUCUUGGUAA